GGUGAGAUGGCUGAGCGGUCGAAAGCACAGUAUUGGAACUUCUGUUUAGGAAUUUUCUUAACGAGGGUUCGAAUCCCUCUCUCUCCA
rnacentral:tRNA from 1 species